GAUGAACGCUGGCGGCGUGCCUAAUACAUGCAAGUCGAGCGAACAGAUGAGGAGCUUGCUCCUCUGACGUUAGCGGCGGACGGGUGAGUAACACGUGGAUAACCUACCUAUAAGACUGGGAUAACUUCGGGAAACCGGAGCUAAUACCGGAUAAUAUAUUGAACCGCAUGGUUCAAUAGUGAAAGACGGUUUUGCUGUCACUUAUAGAUGGAUCCGCGCCGCAUUAGCUAGUUGGUAAGGUAACGGCUUACCAAGGCAACGAUGCGUAGCCGACCUGAGAGGGUGAUCGGCCACACUGGAACUGAGACACGGUCCAGACGCCUACGGGAGGCAGCAGUAGGGAAUCUUCCGCAAUGGGCGAAAGCCUGACGGAGCAACGCCGCGUGAGUGAUGAAGGUCUUCGGAUCGUAAAACUCUGUUACUAGGGAAGAACAAAUGUGUAAGUAACUAUGCACGUCUUGACGGUACCUAAUCAGAAAGCCACGGCUAACUACGUG
rnacentral:rRNA from 1 species